UCAAUAUUACAGUUGCGCAGGCACUUUGGUGACUCUAGAGAACCUCGGGCCGUGACGACGACUUUGCAUUCGGAUGUCUGCCCUAUCAACUUUCGAUGCCACUUUCUGCGCCUACCAUGGUGACCACAGGUAAUGGGGAAUCAGGGUUCGAUUCCGGA